rnacentral:miRNA from 1 species
UGAGAGAAUUUUGGUAUGACGACU